UUGCCUGAUCAUAGCCUCCUGAGGCCAAGC
rnacentral:piRNA from 1 species